GGCUGGGCUGGCAGGGGGCCCCCCCCCCCCUCCCCGGGACCGGGCGGGCCAGCCCUCGGUCACGCGUGCGCGUCUCGCGGAGGGGCCGCCAGGGGCCUCCCCGCCGAGGGGGCAGAGAUGCGGGCGCGUGGCCCCAGGCCGGGUCCGCCCUCAGGCUGGGCUUCUCUCCUCCCGCACCUGCCGUUGCUGUCGCCGUUGCGCGGCUCGGUUGGGCGCCGGGCAACCUGGAGGCCGAGGAGCGACUCGCAGUGGCCUCCGGCACUUGAGCCUGAGCAGUCGGGGCAGGAGGACGCGGUGGAGGCGUGUGCCGGGGAAGCCAUGUGUGAAGAGAUCCAAGAACUUUCCCAGGCCGCUACCCCAUCAGGCCUCAGGAAACCACCCCUCGAGCUUGCCAAAGGGGUAGAACCUUAGGGCUUUUCAUAAACGGUGUGGCAGGCGUGCUUGUGGGACACCCAUUUGACACGGUCAAGUUCCCAGGGGCUGGUGUGCACCGCAUGGAGCGUGUGGCCCCAGGGGGCAGGCACUCGGGUAGUUUAGCCCCGAUAAAAUCUUCGGAUCCAGGUCCUCACAGGCUCAAAAUGGAAACAAAGGAAAUCCAUGUUCUCCGGCUGGAAAUUCCCAAAAUCCUCCCUAUGCCAUCAUGCCUGCCAUGGGAAGCUCACGCCUGGGGAGAGCAGAACAAGAUGAGCGUAAGCCUCACCCUGGAGAGCGCUAGUGCGGCUGCAGGUGCAGAGCGCGGAGAAGCCUCAGUACCGGGGGACCCUGCACUGCUUCCAGUCCAUCAUCAAGCAGGAGAGCGUGAGUGGGGGGCCCGGGGGUGGGGGGGGCGGUGAGGCAC
rnacentral:lncRNA from 1 species